rnacentral:rRNA from 1 species
UACAGAGGUCUCAACCGUUGUUCGGAUUCAUUGGGCGUAAAGGGUGCGUAGGCGGCGGGGUAAGUCAGGUGUGAAAUCUCGGGGCUCAACCCCGAAACUGCACUUGAUACUGCCUCGCUUGAGUACUGGAGAGGAGACUGGAAUUUACGGUGUAGCAGUGAAAUGCGUAGAUAUCGUAAGGAAGACCAGUGGCGAAGGCGGGUCUCUGGACAGAAACUGACGCUGAGGCGCGAAAGCUAGGGGAGCAAACAGG